UUGUAAAUCUUUAGAUAAAGCCUGAAGCUUAACUCCAGAAAGUCUGAAGAGACUGCAAGACUUGAGAUCGGGUGAGGUUAAACGUACUUUCAGGGUAGGGGUAAAAUCCUGUAAUCCCGGAAGGACGACCAGUGGCGAAAGCGUUUAACUAGAACGAAUCUGACGGUAAGGAACGAAGGCUAGGGUAGCAAACCGGAUUAGAUACCCGGGUAGUCCUAGCUGUAAACACUGCCCAUUUGAUGUUGCUUUUCCGUUGAGGGAAGGCAGUGUCGGAGCGAAGGUGUUAAAUGGGCCGUUUGGGAAGUAUGGUCGCAAGACUGAAACUUAAAGGAAUUGGCGGGGGAGCACCGCAACGGGAGGAAUGUGCGGUUUAAUUGGAUUCAACGCCGGAAAACUCACCGGGAACGACCUGUGCAUGAGAGUCAACCUGACGAGUUUACUCGAUAGCAGGAGAGGUGGUGCAUGGCCGUCGUCAGCUCGUACCGUAGGGCGUUCACUUAAGUGUGAUAACGAGUGAGACCCACAUCUUUAAUUGCAAAUGUAUAUGAGAAUAUGCAUGCACUUUAGAGAAACCGCCAGCGUUAAGCUGGAGGAAGGAGUGGUCGUCGGCAGGUCAGUACGCCCCGAAUUUCCCGGGCUACACGCGCAUUACAAAGAACGGGACAAUACGUUGCAACCUCGAAAGGGGAAGCUAAUCGCGAAACCCGUCCAUAGUUAGGAUUGAGAACUGUAACUCGCCCUCAAUGAAUCUGGAUUC
rnacentral:rRNA from 1 species